UACGAAGGGGGCUAGCGUUGCUCGGAAUUACUGGGCGUAAAGCGCACGUAGGCGGCUUCUUAAGUCGGUGGUGAAAUCCUGGAGCUCAACUCCAGAACUGCCUUCGAUACUGGGAGUCUCGAGUCCGGGAGAGGUGAGUGGAACUGCGAGUGUAGAGGUGAAAUUCGUAGAUAUUCGCAAGAACACCAGUGGCGAAGGCGGCUCACUGGCCCGGUACUGACGCUGAGGUGCGAAAGCGUGGGGAGCAAACAGGG
rnacentral:rRNA from 1 species